UUCAUAGAAACCUCAUAAACAGAGACAACGAAAAACAAAGGGUAUUGCCAGAGGGUUGCAGCUUGAAGAAAAACAAACUUCUGACAAAUGUUAGUUUGGAUCUUGUAAUUUGAAUUGAUGGAGAGGAGAGUAUUUUGGAAUUAGUUUCCAUUGUUGCAGAGUUGGAAUAUUUUAUUUUCCUUGCCCUUGUUCUUUACAAUUGUGGUGGAAAUUGUUUAGGGAGAUGAAGCCAGAUGGGUUAUCCCAAAGGGGUGUUUUGAAUUUCUGAGCACCAAGUUUGAGGGUUUUGGGAGGGGGAAGAAAGCCAAAACAUUAUGCAGGUGCUGCUUGUUGGCAUUUUCCUGGAACAAUUUGGAUGGAGCGCAAUAAGAAUAUUUGAGGAUUAUAAGGGCGCGGGGGUAAAUGAAUUCUGGGACAGAGUGAGUUUCUGGGAAACUUUUGGCUAAGUUUAGGGAUUAUUACCAUUCUACUAUAAUGUUGGAUUUAUAGUCUGUAACAGUGACAGACAAGAAUGCUUGAAUUCUGUGCAUUUCUUACUUCAUUUCUAAUAGUUUGCAGCAGCAGUUGUGCAGCACACCCUGCAUAAGGUUGUAAUCAUGUAUAUGAUUGAAAUUGGCUUGAUAGGUCGAGGUCGUCUUGUGCUUAGCCUGCUUUGGCACGUUCGAGGUCAUACUUAAGGGAACCAAAUCAAACAUGAAUAAAAUAUUAGACUCGUUCACAAA